AACCUCUCCAACAAGACUCCCACACUGUCUAUAACAUUCUCACUGAAUGAUUCAGAGCUUCAGCAGGAAGAUGAUUAUUAGUUACAGUAUUUUAAUUGUGCUAAUUUCAUAUACUAAUGGACAGUCACUGACCUCCUCUGAGUCAGUAGUGGAGGAACCUGGGAGGUCAGUCACUCUCUCCUGUUCUGUGUCUGGUUUCUCCAUGGGCAGCUACUGGAUGCACUGGAUCCGUCAGAAACCCGGGAAAGGACUGGAGUGGAUCGGAUUUAUUGAUGGUGGCACUAGCACAUAUUUUGCCCAGUCUCUACAGGGCCAGUUCUCCAUCAGUAAAGACACCAGUAACAACAUGCUGAUGCUGCAGGUGAAGAGUCUGAAAGUCGAGGACACGGCUGUUUAUUACUGUGCUCGAGACUCACUGUGGUGCAAGAACCCAUGAAGCUGAACAAAAACAGAAACUGGAAUCUGGAAUCAUAAGCUUUGAACUCACUUUAUAA